UUUCUCUGUUCGAGAUCAUACUUGUCAGUCAAAAUAGGAAAAAAACUAGUGGAAGGAGAACCAUAAAUGCACCUUAAAGCCACAAGUGAACUCCAAAAUGCCUUCAUUGAAGCUGAGGGGUGGAUUGAAACCAGACGGUAGAGAGUAGGGAUCAGGAAUAUAGCAUGCCUUGGAGAAGCUGAACAAAGGCGAGCUGGCAGCGUCACCCAACAGAGAAGAACGCUGUCUCUGCUGCUCUAGUUCGACUCGCCUCUUCUUGGCACCGCCCGUGGCCAAUCCAGCAGCCGGAGUCAAGGCAGAGCAGAGGCAACCGCCACCCUAAAACCAAGUGCUGGAAAGAAGAUAACAGCAGGAAUGCUCGUCCUAUUCCCGAAAUGAGGAGGCCCGGUGGACGCAUCGGAGACCAUGGACAGGUCCUCCUCCUCCUCCUCCUCUUCUUCAAAGGAACCACCUUUGUCACGGAUGAGAAGCUAAGGGCAGUCACCGGAGGACUGACCUAAGUAGUCGGUCCAGCCUGAUUGGCAUCCGUUGCUGCAAUCUGAGCUAACAUCUUCCUCCUCUCCUUGCAUCAAUGAAUCAAUAUAGGAGAACGAUCUUUUCAUUCUCUUCGUCGAACAAAGGAGUGCCGAAGGCCCUCGUCGACAGUCUCCGACGCCACAGCGACCGCAGCGGCAGCGACGCCAGGGCGGUCGUCGCUGGGUACCUUACGACACGCGUGGAGGAGCACAGUAACACCCUCGGAGGCGGAGGGCACCGGAAAUGAAAUAGGUCAGAGGUUUAUUGCAGUUUGUAGUUCUGAUCUCAGAUUAGGUUUCUGUUCCUGUAUUGAUAUCAUCUUGGGCAUUGGACGAGAUAGGGCCGUAGAGAUUCUCUUUUUCUCCUCACUCAAAAAUGGCGCCUUGACAGUCUUGAUUGGUUUGAUUUGUUCAAAUGGUGCGGAGAAAAUUGACUCUACCAAUUGUUGGUUGCAAGACCUAUUUUUAGUUGCUUUGUGCUGAUGAUGUUCUUCAAGUGGAUCGACGAAGAUGCUAUUUGUCAGGAACGAAGAAUUUAAUCGUGCUUGAGUAGUCUUUUUAGUGUCUGAGCUAUCUUUCUAUUAAGAAUAUAUUUCUUGUCCAGAUUAGUGUUGGCUAUGAAUUCAGCUAGAACUUUGGCAUUAUGUUGAUAGCCCAUAGCAAAGAUUUGGUGGAAUACCCCACAUUGGUGAGAGCCUCGUGUACUAUACUCUUUGAAGGCAAUGAUGACUACUUUGUCUUGCAGUCUAUCUUGGAAAUAGGCUUUCCUUUGCCAUUAGUACUCACACUAGUUUGGUCUACUUGUAACUUUGCUGGAGAAAGCAAAAUAACUCUUGAAUCUAUUUGUAGUUUCUUCAUACUCCCUGAUUAACUCAUCUCACAUUAAUGUUUAUCCAUGGAAUUGAGGAAAUUUCCUAUUGUUUAAGACACAUGGGUGGUUUGGACACAAAGAAGAAUGAAGAGUGUAAAUGGUUACAGUGAUAAAGUUCAUCACAAACUUUCUUGGUAGAGACCUUGGAAAACUCUGUCCAAGUUUUGCAUCUUAUGACCUUUGGACUAAAGAGCAGAUUUGUUUUUUUUUCUUCUUCUUUUAAGAGUAUGUAGCAGAAUGGUUGAUCUAAUUUUUCUGUUGUAGCAGGUCAUAAAGUUGCUGGCCUUCAACUUUGCAGAAAGAAAGUUUCUUCUGUUGGGUGUCUUUCAAGAAGUCCUGACUCUUCCUUUCUCUUUUAAUUUUGCCUGCAAUCAGUUCUGGGUCAUGUUUAUUGUUUCCCUUCAGCUUGCUGAUUCAAGCACCAAUAACUGUGCAGUGGAAAAAUAAACCAGAUAUUAUGUUUACUACUAAUCUGGAGUAGGAUUGGCUUGUCCAUUCUCUUAUACUACCCAACUGAUGCAUUUACAAACCAACCUUUCUCAAGAAGAAAAUUCUGUUGAUGUCGUUUACAUAAACAUGUAAUUAUACAUAUUCUUCACCUUGGCUAAGGGAGAAAACAAGGGUCAAACCGUUAAAGCAAGUACUUUGUAGAAGCCUAUGAGCACAUAAUAGCUGGCAGCUACCAUUUAUUUCUAACUGGAGAUGAAGGAUUUCCCAUUGUCAUCCCUAUAUUUACAGUCAAGUUCAUGAUUAGAGUAGUGAUCUUUUUAAAAAAUCUUAAAUGGACCUGAAAUAUUAGAUAGUGAUGGAUUUAUUGCCUCAAAUUGUGUCAUAGUCUAUCGCAAUGCAGGAACUCUUAUGAUUAUUGGAUCAGCCCAAACUUAAAGCUCAAAGCCCACGAGCACCAAUUUUAGAUUUCAGUGGGAGGGGGAUUACUUCUCAGGGGCAGCAAGAUCUAGACCUAGUUGCUGGAUGUGUCUAAGGUACAAGCACAAUCUGAUCUUUUUCAUCAGCACUAUCUGUUUCAUUUGUCUAAUCCGAGACUUUUUUUUUUUUUUGCAAUUCUGACAUGAUUAUGUUUCUUAGAUUCAAUUCUGUCAGACUCAAGGUUAAUCAAGGUUGGCACAAAGGCAUCUUUCCAAUGUGCAUGUGCAGCUAUUUCUUCUGCCAUUGGUAGGUGGAGAACCUUGUGCCGGCAACCAUUAAUUGACAUGGAGAAGGCCUUCCACAAAGAGGUCAAAGAAAGCAAUAAGUCUGCUUGCAUCUCUGCAGCUGUCAUGAUCGAGUAGAAGUCAUGCCUAACACAACAUUGUCCUAAUGCCUAGAGUCUGAGGUUGUGAGAACUCCCAUUCUCAUCCAACACCCUCCUAACUUUUUCUUGUCUUCUUGUAUGAGAUGUUCUUAUUGGCUCUUGAGAAGGUCAAUGGCUGCACCAGAAACACACCCAACUCAUGACGAAUUCAACAAACGUAUUGGAUCUUCUCUUUGCAUCUCCAUAUAUAUAUAUAUAUAUAUAUAUAUAUAUAUAUAUAUAUGAUUGGAGUCUGGAAACAGGAUGAGAUAGAACAGAGUGAGGAAAGAAUCACAUGAAUUCUAUGUGCCGGUCAGAAUCGAUUGUUCGAUCAAUUAUUCUCCAUCUACUGUCAUAAAGAAUGUCUACUGAUUCUGUUGCCAAUGUCAUAUCAUUUUGUAUGAUUUGACGAAAUAAUAUCAACCCCAUUUUGUUAU